CCCCGACUAGCUCAGUGGCUCGGGCGCCCCACUUCAUCUGGGGAGACCCGGGUUCGACUCCCAUCGAGUG
rnacentral:tRNA from 1 species